AGUACAUCUACCUGCAUCAGUGCGUGAGAGAUGUCCUCAGAGCAAGGAAACUGCGGAAUGAACAAGAAAACCCUCUGUUUCCUAUCUAUGAAAACGUGAAUCCAGAGUACCACAGAGAUGCAAUCUACUCGAGACAUUAAGGUUGCACCUGCAGAUGCCCUGGAAUAAAGUUUUUCACUGUGUGACUUUUAAAAACCAGAUCUUGCUUCACGCCCUGUGGAGGUGCCAGCUCUUUCUGUUGAUACUAUGUAUAAUUUAUUAAUCUGGAGAAUGUUAAAGAAUUUAUGUAAUUUAAAGGUAACAGAUAUUAUUGUAUAUAUUUGUAUUUUGUAGUUUCUCCUGUAAAUAUGUAUUUUUCAUAAUGUUUAAUAUUGAGCUUUAUAUAAUAGUAUUUUUCCACACUAGAGUGUUCAUGGCUUGUUCUGCGUAAACUGAUUCAACCUGUAUGACAGGGCCCCUGGUGAAAUGUGUGUAGAGAAAGCAGCAAGGACAAUCCCUGGCUCUGUGUUUCUUGCAUGGGUUGAUACCCAUGGGGUAAGCAAAGGACAGAGCUGGGGGGAGCAUGCCAUAAGGCUAGCUUUGCCAAGCUACUGCCUUAUUAACAAACCCUGGGAUCUAAAGGCUGUAAGCGUCAAAGAAAGAUUAGGGCUGUGGCUACACCUUGGGUGGUAGAGCACAUGCCAGGAAAUUAAAAAUAUCAAUUUAAGAACUGGAGGAUGACACAGCACCAAAGCUGAGCGAGAUGUUUUUGUCUAAACUGGAAGCUUUUCAUCUGAAUCCUCCCAGGGUUACAAGCCAUGGUCAGCUCCAGGACCUUGAAACUUGCAGUGACUGCAGGGUUGAGGGCUCUGGUAGAAAAUGAGACUAACAGAUGAGACCUAGUGACAAUCAGUAAUGCCAGGUGUCCCUCGGCCUGGAACCUCCUGCAUAGGGUGCAUCCCUGUGACAUUCGGGCUUGGUUUUCCUUUGGAGAGAGCAAAGGUGGUAGGUCAUGCCCCUGGUCGAAGAAAGCCUGAUAUAUCAACAAGUUCAUAGAAAUCUCUACAUCACAUACAAUGAAUGAAAAAGUAAACAAUGGCUAAAAAGAACAACAACAACCCAGCUGUGCUUAGUCUAAAAAUCUUUCAGAAGAUCUUUUUAAGUUGAUGCAGUUGAAAUGUCAAGUACUUACCUGAAUUAAUAUAAAUGGCAAUACACACCCUACCAAUUUUAUCCUUACAAUCGGUGCUUUAGGUUGACUGUAAAAAUUCCAGUGAGUUAGAAAGUGGACAUUGACCAAAUCAAGGCCCGAUUUGAAGUUUAUAGAAACGGAGGAACAGUUUCUAAGGAUCCCUGUGAACAGCAGUGAGGAUUCAGAGUUCUCUCGGUGUCACUGUGCUCUGUGCUCUUGAGAAAAUGGCUCAGUUGGGCUCUGAUCCUGUAUCCAGAAAACCUUUUAGAUGGGAAAAAGAGGAGCCGAGGUAUCAGCUUGGAGGUAUAGCUAAGGAGAAAAUGGAGGUCAGACAUGGCAUUGGUGUGGCGUCUGUUAGGGAUCAUUUUUCUUAGAGGAAAAAAAAGAAAGCUAGGCUGAAGGAGCUGCUUGCUGUGAGGUGGCAUGCUAGUGUGGCCAUCUCCAGAGGCCCUCUCCCUCCCACACACACACACCUCUAGCAAGAGGAAAACAGAACAAGGGUUGUAAACUGAUGUUGGUACAAAGCAUGUGAGUAACCUGGGAAGAGAGGUUCAUUUUCAGCUUUUUGUUCAGUGAGAAAAGUCCCCAGCAAGUGCCUGGAAUCUGUCAGGUGCUGCUCCAAAAUCUGUUUCUUUGUCCACCAAGAGUGCAUGGUGGCAGUGAAAUUAUCCUUGUGACUGGUUUGAAUAGAACUUAAGAGAGGGCCCAGACGAGGCUAUGAGAGCACAGUUGGUCAGUUUCCUUAGGGUGCUUUGCUGCUACCAAGUGCUGAAGCUGUUUCUGCUAGAUGCAGAAGAGAAAGCAAUUAAAAUUGCACAAACCAGAAAGUAUAACCACAAAGCACCUGUACAUGUGUAACCAUAAAUGACAUCCACAUACCCUCAAAGCAUUUGGGGGCAGGAUCAGAGUUAUGGAAACGAAUACAGCCACACAAGCAGGGAAAACCAUGCAUUCAUCUAUUGUCAUCUGUUUGGGGAAGUACUGAUUCCUCCUUCUCUAUACUAGUUUUAAACCCCCUUAGCAACAAAUAUUUCACUAUGCAAUCUCUCUCUCCCCCAGGAAAAUGAAAUACAGAUCUAGUUGACCCACUCAUUGAAUUUAGCAGACAGCCAGGCUGGAAAUGUAGCUACUGGUAGAGUGUUUGUCUGGCAUGUGGGAGGCCCUGGGUUUAAUCUCAGGUACCACAAAAUAAGCAAGGAGAGAAAUGAAAAGGUUUCUUUGCCAUUCACUCCACUGGAUGCAUCUCCCCUUGAUCGCGUCAUGUGGUUAUGCCCGUAAACACUCCACUUCCUGUCUUGUCGGGCAUCCUGUCUGCACCUGAACGCUGCUCUUUAAUCAGCAAAGCUUCAAAGUACUUCAAGGCUAUCAAAUCUUGAGAGAGUCUCUUUGGCAUCUUAAUAAUUAUUUACCCAGCUUCCUUAUAAUUAACUCCUUUAAUCUCUUCACAUUAAAUCAAUUUUACAUUAUCAUUCAGCUUUCCCCUGGAGAGCUGCCAACUUUUCCACUCUUGAGUCAGAUUUUUCAAAGAUGCAUCUUCCCCCCUGGACUUGCAAAUGUUCAUCCUGAGGAACUUCCCACCCUUUAGUGCCCAAGCUCCUCUUUUCCACGGCCUGCCCCUUUUUCCUAUUCGAUGGAUCCUGUGCCAAUGGGAUGUGAUUUUAUCUUCUGCCCAUCCCAUCUCCUUUCACCCAUUGCUAACAUUUCAUAAGCUCAGUAUUAUAGACGAGUAAUCAAGACUUAAUUUUUUUCAACAUUAAAAUGGCAGCAAUUCAGCAAUUUGGGGUCAGUUAUAUUUAGGAGGCUCUGUAAUUAAUUUUGCUAUUACCUCUUGGAAGUAAGCCCAAAAUGAUAUGAGAAAAUAAUAUGAAAUGGUUUAACAGAUGUCCAGCAACACAAAAAUAGGGCUCUCACGUUACACUUCAUACUGCUUCUCUUAUCUUGUUGUUAAGGAUGUAACUUUUCAUAUUAAAUACAUUCUGCUCCCUUUGCAAAAUUCUUGCUCAGUUAGUUUAUGGGCAUUUUGGAAGGUUGAAUCCUUAAAGCUGCUAGAUCUGUGUAUUUGCCUGAGAGUCCCAGCCAUGGAAUAUUCUAGAAUUUUUGUUCACACAGCUGCCCAGACCAAACCUUACCACGCAAUGAUAAAUAGGUAGUAAGGAAUUAGCUGCUUGGUUGUAGAAACAGUUCAGAGGUUUUCCAAGUUCUGUUUCAUUGGGAAAAAUGAAUAUAUCUGACCAGACAAGAGUGGUAAGAAGGCAUGAGCAGCCCCGGUGAGCAAGUUCUCAUCCCGGAGGAGUCAACAGAGAAAUGGCACACCUGCUUCAAUGCCCCAUUACCAUUCCGAAGAUUUUUCAUCUACGCUCCAGAAAUGCGUCCGAUGUUGAAAGACUGUUUCACAGCCGAGGAAACUUUAGACCAUGACUGCAGAGAGGAAGUAAAAUGAUGUAAGGAAGGGAGAACAUUGGAGAAGAGGUGAGCAACGAGAGCAUCAGGAAGACAGAAUGGUGUGUCUCCCUUCUCGGGUGGGUCUUUGAAAAUCUCAUCAUGUAUUUAUUUCUGUGAAGACAGAUGGAUUGACCAUUCCUCACCCCCCAAAUCUGAAACUCAAAAUGCUCCAAAGUCAAAGGCUUUUUGGAGCACUGACGUGACAUAGUAGGAUGCUCUAUAGCUGGCCUUGUGUGAUGUGUCAGUCAGAACACAGGUACAUGAAAACUACCAUGUAAACUUACAAUCAGCUAUGUAUACAGGGAAUAAGGGAGACAGAAAUGGAUUUCAUAUUGAGAGAUUCAUCCUCAAUAUUCAUAUUAUAGUUAUUCAAAUACUCCAAACUUAUUUUUAAAAGCAAACAGAUUCGGAUCACAAACAUUUCAGGUAAGGGAUCUUUGACCUGUGCUACUAUUGUUGGGAUUCACUGCGACCAUGUUGGUCAGGAGAUUUAGCUGAUUCAACAACUGAAUUGAUUAAUUUGGUUUUUUGCAUUCGCCAGGUGUGUGACUAAGUUUCCAGGAUCUGUCACUGCAGACACAGCACCUUAAUGCCUUACAGUACAGGGUAACUUUGAGAGUGUGGCCAUUUCAGUUGAAAUUCAGGGUGACAUUCGAUGCAGCCAUGAUAACAGAAAAAAAAAAAAUCUGUUCUCUUCUAAAAAUGUGUCUAGCAGUGAAAACAUUUCUGGCUGAAAGAACACUUGACUUGUAUGGAAGCUUCUUUGGAAUAAAUGUAUGCUUUUUAUUUUUUUAAGGAUUGUUUAUAUAGAUAACAUUCAUCAAAUAAGGAAAUUAUUGAUGAGUGCUCCCAAAGUAGAAGUUUAUGUAAUGGAAAUUAAAGAUAUAUUAAAAGAUUUACCAAAGAUCAGUUUUUAAUGGAUAUACCAAUGUACUUGAUUUUUUUAUAAGACACCAAAGUAAGUCUUUUCAAAGCUGUGAAUCAUGACAGACAAAUGUAAUGUGUCCCUUCUUAGAAUAGUCAUGAGAAGGAUUAGUUUGGGCUGUUUUCUGCCUCAUGUAAUUUCUUUUAAGAAAUAUCAUUCUUGCCCCGACAGCAAGCUUUUCUGUUAUGUCUGAGACGUAUUUUAAUAGCUAUGUGUGUAAAUAUGUGUUGCAUCGAGAAAGGAGCACCUGAGAUUGUGACUUCAGAAAUCUAGCAGAGAUGACCAGCCUCCAUCUGCCAGUUAGCAGGAAGGUCUAGACCAGAAUUCAGCAUCUUUCUGAUCCCAACCAUGCCAACAGAAGGCACCAAUGUCCCCACUUGAAGGGCACUUGGCCAAUGUUGGCGAGGCUCCUGGGGCUUAGAAAUUCUCCAAGAACAAAAAGCAAGCUUGUUUUCUCAACUUCCACUGUAUAGUGAAUCGUUCACACCUCACCCAUACCCUGCACGCGUGAUGUAGGGUGGAAGUUGCUCCUGGCUGAGUGCUUUGGAUGUUGGAUCGUGUCUGCUAGUUCUGAAGUCCACAGAAGUGAAUCUAGCCGCUCCUACAUCUGUGUGAAGCAUACUAUCUAAUGUAAAUAAAUCCAGCAGCUGAACUUAUUAUGUUCUAUAAUAGAGCACUUCUGUGGUUUCAAAAUCAUUUACAUGUUCUCUGCAAAUCUAGUUAAAAUGGCAAUAAAUCUAUUUUUUUUCUCUGUACUAUAGCAUCUACCCACACUAUUGCAUUUGUAGCCAGCGUUGUUUGAACAAAGAACCUCACUGGUCUUUCUAUUUAAAUAAUGUAUGUGCUUAAUAUAUUUUCAGAUUUGUAACGGUGGUUAAAAGAACCUAUCUGGAAUCUUGCACACACCCUCACCAACGUAGGAAUAAAGCUGCUGCUUGUUGAAAGCCA